rnacentral:rRNA from 1 species
UACGUAGGGCGCAAGCGUUUGUCCGGAAUCACCGGGCUUAAAGCGUGUGUAGGCGGGCCGUUAAGUGUCUUGUGAAAUCCCCCGGCUCAACCGGGGAAUUGCUGGGCAUACUGGCGGUCUUGAGCAGUUCAGGGGCAGAUGGAACAAGUGGUGGAGCGGUGAAAUGCGUAGAUAUCACUUGGAACGCCAACGGUGAAAACAGUCUGCUGGGAACUUGCUGACGCUGAGACACGAAAGCCAGGGGAGCGAACGGG